AGUGAACGCUGGCGGUAGGCCUAACACAUGCAAGUCGAACGGCAGCACAGUAAGAGCUUGCUCUUACGGGUGGCGAGUGGCGGACGGGUGAGGAAUACAUCGGAAUCUACUUUUUCGUGGGGGAUAACGUAGGGAAACUUACGCUAAUACCGCAUACGACCUACGGGUGAAAGCAGGGGAUCUUCGGACCUUGCGCGAUUGAAUGAGCCGAUGUCGGAUUAGCUAGUUGGCGGGGUAAAGGCCCACCAAGGCGACGAUCCGUAGCUGGCCUGAGAGGAUGAUCAGCCACACUGGAACUGAGACACGGUCCAGACUCCUACGGGAGGCAGCAGUGGGGAAUAUUGGACAAUGGGCGCAAGCCUGAUCCAGCCAUACCGCGUGGGUGAAGAAGGCCUUCGGGUUGUAAAGCCCUUUUGUUGGGAAAGAAAAGCAGCAGGUUAAUACCCCGCUGUUCUGACGGUACCCAAAGAAUAAACACCGGCUAACUUCGU
rnacentral:rRNA from 1 species